rnacentral:rRNA from 1 species
UACGAAGGGGGCUAGCGUUGCUCGGAAUCACUGGGCGUAAAGCGCACGUAGGCGGAUUGCUAAGUCAGGGGUGAAAUCCUGGAGCUCAACUCCAGAACUGCCUUUGAUACUGGCGAUCUUGAGUCCGGGAGAGGUGAGUGGAACUGCGAGUGUAGAGGUGAAAUUCGUAGAUAUUCGCAAGAACACCAGUGGCGAAGGCGGCUCACUGGCCCGGUACUGACGCUGAGGCACGAAAGCG